CCUACGGGUGGCAGCAGUGAGGAAUAUUGGUCAAUGGGCGCGAGCCUGACCCAGCCAAGUAGCGUGAAGGAUGACUGCCCUACGGGUUGUAAACUUCUUUUAUAAAGGAAUAAAGUGAGGCACGUGUGCCUUUUUGAAUGUACUUUAUGAAUAAGGAUCGGCUAACUCCGUGCCAGCAGCCGCGGUAAUACGGAGGAGCCGAGCGUUAUCCGGUUUGAUUGGGUUUAAAGGGAGCGUAGGUGGGUUGUUAAGUCAGUUGUGAAAGUUUGCGGCUCAACCGUAAAAUUGCAAUUGAUACUGGCAGUCUUGAGUACAGUUGAGGUAGGCGGAAUUCGUGGUGUAGCGGUGAAAUGCUUAGAUAUCACGAAGAACCCCGAUUGCGAAGGCAGCUUACUAAACUGUGACUGACAUUGAUGCUCGAAAGUGUGGGUAUCAAACAGGAUUAGAUACCCCAGUAGUC
rnacentral:rRNA from 1 species